UAGGGUACCAUUUGGAAUACAGACAGUCUUUAAAGGGACUUGUGGUUUGGCCUGUGGAGACUUGCAGAUGCCCACUGACUGCAUCUUCAUGGCGUCUUGAGUGGUGUUGUUUACUAAUGCACUACUAAAGUCCUGUGUUUAAUAUCACUGUCUGUCAUUCUGCUAGUGCUUUAGAAACAGUGGAGUUAGAGCGAGGUGGGGGGGGUGCUCUUAGUCAACCAAGUGAGGGGAGUUCUUUACUCAUUAGUGACCUUAAGUCAUCAAUCAAGUACAAGGGAGGAAUGAAAACCUGCAGACACUCGGGCCCACCGUGGAAUGAGUUUGGCACACGUGAGUUAGAGCAUGAUGUCAGUGGGGAGAAGGCUGGUAGGUCUACCAUGUUAGUGACCUAGUGUGGUACGUGAGUUAGAGUAUGACGUCAGUGGCGUGUUGGGGAGAAGGCUGGUAGGUCUACCAUGUUAGUGACCUAGUGUGGUACGUGAGUUAGAGUAUGACGUCAGUGGCGCGUUGGGGAGAAGGCUGGUAGGUCUACCAUGUUAGUGACCUAGUGUGGUACGUGAGUUAGAGUAUGACGUCAGUGGGGAGAAGGCUGGUAGGUCUACCAUGUUAGUGACCUAGUGUGGUACGUGAGUUAGAGUAUGACGUCAGUGGCGCGUUGGGGAGAAGGCUGGUAGGUCUACCAUGUUAGUGACCUAGUGUGGUACGUGAGUUAGAGCAUGAUGUCAGUGGGGAGAAGGCUGGUAGGUGCUCCAUGUUAGUGACCUAGUGUGCUAACGUCCUCAUUCUAAGGCCGUUCCGUUCUGGAGACAAACAGUCUCCUUCUCUGGUUUCUCUUAGUGCUUUAGAAACCAUGACAACGCACUAACUAGAGAAUGACAUCAGUGGCGCGUUAGGGAGAAGGCUGGUAGGCCAGUCAUGUGUCGUAGCAUUGUAGUGACCCUAGUGAUAGCGUUGUGACUUGUCCUCAUCCUGAGCCAGUUCUGUUCGGGAGAUAAACAGAUAAUGCAGUGAUUCCCUGCUCUGAUGCCAGAACCCCACGUGCUGCUGGUGACGGGCUGAGGCUGAUACAGCUCUGGAGACAAUGGAAGAGGAAUGAAAGAUCCCUCUAUCAGUCCUGCUGACCUAGAGUCACACCCUGGCACCCUGUUCCCUCCACACUAUACUACAG
ensembl:lncRNA